UACAGAGGUGGCAAGCGUUGUUCGGAAUUACUGGGCGUAAAGGGCGCGUAGGCGGCCUUCUAAGUCGAACGUGAAAUCCCCGGGCUCAACCCGGGAACUGCGUCCGAUACUGGAAGGCUUGAAUCCGGGAGAGGGAUGUGGAAUUCCAGGUGUAGCGGUGAAAUGCGUAGAUAUCUGGAGGAACAUCCGUGGCGAAGGCGGCCAUCUGGAUCAACACUGACGCUGAGGCACGAAAGCGUGGGUAGCAAACAGG
rnacentral:rRNA from 1 species